rnacentral:rRNA from 1 species
AGCUCCAAUAGCGUAUAUUAAAGUUGUUGCAGUUAAAAAGCUCGUAGUUGUAUUUGAGCGUAUGGAAUCUAGUGGUCUGCUCUCAAAAGAGAGUAGUGACCCUGGUUUCUUCGCAUUGUUUCCUUUGAGUCGUGACUGGUCUUGAUUGACUUGGUUGCGUUUUGUCUCGAUGGAUCAUUUACUGUGAGAAAAGUAGAGUGUUCAAAGCAGGCUUGUUUUGCAAUUGAAUAUGUUAGCAUGGAAUAAUAAGAUAGGACUUUCGGAUCUAUUUUGUUGGUUUCUAGUUUGGAAGUAAUGAUUGAUAGGGAUAGUUGGGGGUGCUAGUAUUCAACGGCCAGAGGUGAAAUUCAUGGAUUCGUUGAAGACUAACUAAUGCGAAAGCAUUCACCAAGGAUGUCCUCUUUA